UACGGGGGGGGCAAGCGUUGUUCGGAAUUACUGGGCGUAAAGGGCUCGUAGGCGGCCAACUAAGUCAGACGUGAAAUCCCUCGGCUUAACCGGGGAACUGCGUCUGAUACUGGAUGGCUUGAGUUUGGGAGAGGGAUGCGGAAUUCCAGGUGUAGCGGUGAAAUGCGUAGAUAUCUGGAGGAACACCGGUGGCGAAGGCGGCGAUCCUGGACCAACACUGACGCUGAGUGAGCGAAAGCCAGGGGAGCAAAACGGGG
rnacentral:rRNA from 1 species